rnacentral:sRNA from 1 species
GAACAGCAAUUUGGCCAUCUUGAACAAACCCACCACCAGUCUGAAGCCACAUGCCCUAGGAUUCCCUUGCCCCCGUAACUGCACAUUAUCCUUCAUCAUCAAAUAUGGUUCAUCUGUCCACGGUUGCAGUUGAAGUUGGGGAAUGAAAGACAAGCAGAACUCAAUUUAGCAACAUCUUUUCCUCCCCAUGCCAGUGUAUACUUGCUCUUGGCUGAAUCUGCAGAGCCAGGGCACAGUGAGAAAUAGCUCUGAUGCCAUCUUUCUGCUCUCCUCCACAGUCUCCUCUCCCACAGUGGGCAAACCCUACAAGUGUAACUACUGUGGCCGGAGCUACAAACAGCAGAGUACCCUGGAGGAGCACAAGGAGCGGUGCCAUAACUACCUACAGAGUCUCAGCACUGAAGCCCAAGCUUUGGCUGGCCAACCAGGUGACGAAAUACGUGACCUGGAGAUGGUGCCAGACUCCAUGCUGCACUCAUCCUCUGAGCGGCCAACUUUCAUCGAUCGUCUGGCCAAUAGCCUCACCAAACGCAAGCGUUCCACACCCCAGAAGUUUGUAGGCGAAAAGCAGAUGCGCUUCAGCCUCUCAG